GAUCCAACUUGUGGGGAUUUGCAGGACAUAUUUUAAACAUCAAGCAGAGGAAGAAUAUUUUGAGUUUUCCGUCUGCAUCCUGGGAGAACAAUCCACGCAGUAAAAUGCGACCCCGACGUGACACCACCGAGGAGCUUCUUAACUACCUCGCCAACUUCAGUCCCAGAAGUUGGAGAGCCCACUGCGGAGUCCCUAGGCACUGAUUCCUCAAUCGAAGAUGUGUAGGUUAAAUUGAGGAGGUCUUCGGAGUAUUUCUUCCACCGAUCCACAACAUCCCCAGUCAACGUCAGCAGCACACCUUCCCCACUAUACACGGUGUUGACUGUGGACUGCGUCCCCCUCCUGAGGCGGCGGAUGGUGGUCCAAAAUCGCUUCAAAGCUGUCCGGAAGUCGUUCUCCGUGGCUUUUCCAAACUCCUCCUAUGUCCGAGUUUUUGCCUCUGCAACCGUCCAAGCCGUACACCGCUUGGCCUGUUGGUAACUGUCCGCUGCCUUCAGAGUCCCAUGAGCCAAAAGGACCCGAUAGGACUCCUUCUUCAGCUUGACGGCAUCCAGCGGGACAUUAUACGUAUAUGUCGUGGCUUACUGUGGUGGAUCCCAAAAAACCCAGAGGACAAGAGCGUGUGGUCUUCAUUAUCCAGUCUAUGACCAGGAGCAACAGAAAGGUUGAUACAAGGAAUCGCUGAUACACACCAGUCUUGACUUCAAAACUCUCCGACAGCUGGCCAGCAUGUAAAACUGCUUUCUUGGUUGCUUUUUUUUAAAUCAGGGUGAUGAUCUUCUCUCAGCAGUUUCCACAGAUUCGCUCUAUCCACAGAGCCAAAGGCUUUUUCAUAAUCAAUGAAGUUCCUAAGUAAAGGAGGGUUCUAUUGUUCUACAUUGAUGUGCAGGAUGGCAACCUGGGCCGUACAAGAUACCUUACUUUCAAUCAAUGAAUCAAUAAAAGUUUACUUAUAUAGCCCUAAAUCCCGAAUGUCUCAAAGGGCUGCACAAGCCACAAAGACAUCCUCGGCUCAGAUCCCACAUCAGGGCAAGAAAAAAAAAACUCAACCCGAUGGGAUGACAAUGAGAAACCUUGGAGAGGACCGCAGAUGUGUGCAAUGGACGUCGAGGGGAUCUAGCAUAAUAUUGUGAGAGUCCAGUCCAUAGUGGAUCUAACAUAAUACUGUGAGUCCAGUCCAUAGUGGGGCCAGCAGGAGAGUAAAUCUGCCUGCUGGUCUCAAAGUAUGGGAUCAACUGAUUCACUUUUCCUGUUCUGUAUGGUUCUGUUGAGAACUUUUCCUGGUAUUGAUAUAAACAGGAUUCCUCUGUAGUUGUUGCAGUUAGUGAAUGCAUGAGUGUAUGUAUGUACGUUUGUAUAAAUAUUAGCUGCUUUUUUUUUUUUUUUUAACAAAAUAAUCUGCUGUUCUAAAUGUGUCCACUGGAUGUCACAAUAGCAAUUCUGUUAGGCAAGCAAACAAUUUAUACCGGGGACAAGCAAGAGGUACACAGUAAAGGGUGACUGUGGGUCCUCCUCCUCAACCCACAUGAAACUUAAAACCUGCCGUUUUAUGUCUUCUGCUUCGAACACAUCAUCAUUUGGCACCCUCCUUGCCCUAAAAUGUAAGUAUGUCAAACACAAGAAAAGUCAACUUAACCCUUUUGAAUAGUUCUUACCUCAGUUUCUUACGGUUUGUUGAGUUAGCACUGGAUUGAUACGUGGACAUGACAAAAGGAGGUAUUUGAUACCUAAAAGAGUUUACAUGUUGUGUUUUUUGUUCAGUCCCAGAAAGACUGUGACUUAAAGUUUCAUCCUGGCUUUGUAGAUACACUGAACCGAAGUCUAAACUCAUUGUGUUUUUGAAGCUGCACCAAU